CAAUAGCGUAUAUUUAAGUUGUUGCAGUUAAAAAGCUCGUAGUUGGAUUUCGGGUGGGACGCAGCGGUCUCGCAUUGCGUUUGUACUGCUGCAGCCCUCCUUCUUGCCGGGGGCGGCCUCUCGGACUUCACUGUCUGGGGGUCAGAAUCGGCGAUGUUACUUUGAGUAAAUUAGAGUGUUCAAAGCAAGCUUACGCUCUGAAUAUAAUAGCAUGGGAUAACACGACAGGACUCUGGCCUAUCGUGUUGGUCUAUAGGACCAGAGUAAUGAUUAAGAGGGACAGUCGGGGGCAUUCGUAUUCCGUUGUCAGAGGUGAAAUUCUUGGACUUACGGAAGACGAACAUCUGCGAAAGCAUUUGCCAAGGAUGUUUUCAUUG
rnacentral:rRNA from 1 species